rnacentral:rRNA from 1 species
AACGAACGCUGGCGGCAUGCCUAACACAUGCAAGUCGAACGAGACCUUCGGGUCUAGUGGCGCACGGGUGCGUAACGCGUGGGAACCUGCCCUUAGGUUCGGAAUAACUCCCCGAAAGGGGUGCUAAUACCGGAUAAUGUCUUCGGACCAAAGAGUUAUCGCCUUUGGAUGGGCCCGCGUUGGAUUAGCUAGUUGGUAGGGUAAAAGCCUACCAAGGCGACGAUCCAUAGCUGGUCUGAGAGGAUGAUCAGCCACACUGGGACUGAGACACGGCCCAGACUCGUACGGGAGGCAGCAGUGGGGAAUAUUGGACAAUGGGCGAAAGCCUGAUCCAGCAAGGCCGCGUGAGUGAUGAAGGCCUUAGGGUUGUAAAGCUCUUUUACCCGGGAUGAUAAUGACAGUACCGGGAGAAUAAGCUCCGGCUAACUCCGUG